GGACACAGCUGGAACAGAUGACCCUGACUGACCCUUGUCUUCUUUUCCACCAGCCAUUGGUUUAUAAAAAGGGUUCUAAAUGGUUGUCAGUUAAGACACUUCCCAAGGAAGAGUGUAUUUUAUGAUGGCUGGUAUUUUUGUAUAAAGCAAACCUGUUCUGCAGUGUUGAAUCUUGACUUGUUUCCACUGUAACUUUUCUUCUUUCAGAAAGAACAUUUUCCUUUGCAAAGCCAGUACAGAGAGAAAGAUGCUGGAAACUUGCAGCACAUGAAAGCUGUGAAUGGAAGGCAAUUCACUUACGAGGCUGAAGAACCAGAAGAACAAGAAGGUCUUCAGCCUAUGUAUCCUGUUUAUCAACAAACUUACCACAAAAAUUGGAGCAGCAGAUACCCACAAAACUCAGGACCUGGAAGAGUCUACAUCAAUCCAAGGGAGCAUUAUGUAUGAUUCUGUACCCAGAUGUCUUUACCAAGGGUUUUAUUACCUGUUCACUGUAAGACCCGUAUGUCUCAUUGGCUUUCAUCUCUAAAAUAAUUGGUAUUUUUUCCUGUGGGAAGAAAUGGCAUGGAGAAUUUUAUUAUAGGUAAACCGCAAGGAAUUUGAGACCUAACUUGCUUCUAGUCUUGGGCAUGUGUUUGGUUUUGUAGUUAUAUCAACCUGCCAAAAGAGGAGAGCCUUUUAGCUUUAGUUGUAAGAUGCAUACCUAGAUUAAUUGGUUGACACAUGCCAAAAUGUAGCUAAGCUUUUUCCUUGGCUAUUGCUUAGAGCAUUCUCUCCCUGGAUGGAUAUUUUACAAUAACUUUACCUACGUAAAAGUGAGUAAAUAUGAGCAAGACAGCUGAAUCCCUUGUGACAUUACUAGUCUCGGGCUGAGAGUCAUUUUUUCACAUUUUAGAAAACUUGGGAAUCAUUUUGACUGGCCUUAGCUAUUGAUUUCUCAACUAGCUCUACCUCUCCCAGUCAAAUGAACAACUAGACUACCUCUCAAAUACUGACUGGCUGUUUCAUAAAGUAUGCUGUGUGUUUUCCCACCUUGUUAAAAGUGAAGCAAUUGCCUUACAUCAGAAACUUUUUUUUUUCCUUUGAUUUUGCCUGUUGAUGUCCAUGCUGAUUUUGGUUUUACAGUUAGGUUGAUAUGAAACUUGGUGGAAGUAGAUGGCUAGACAGAGAGAACUUUCUAUAAGAGUCUUAUAUGAAACUACAUCAUACCUAUCAGUUGCUAUUUAGCCAUUUUUCCAAGUAUGACUCCUAUUUUAAAGAGUUUACCUUGCUUGGUAAUAAAUACACUCCUUGCUUUCUUCUCAGUUUGCAGUAAAACUUCCUGGGAUGUGUUCUUAUGUCUUAGAAAAGAAAGGCUUCAGUCAACUUCAAGUACUUUUCAGCACUGCACUUUAAUCUUAAUCAGUAGUGUGAAGUAAUUGGAGAAUGUCCUGAUGUUACCAGUGCUAACAGGACUCCACAUGACAUUUUUGAGUGUGGAGUAAUGGUUAAAAAAAUGCCCUCAGGAUCUUUCCAGAAAAAUAAGUUUUCCUGUGGACUAAAACAUAAAUAUUUAGGAAAAUAAAAAAAAAAUGUAUAUACUUUGUUAGUGCUGAAAUGAGCUCACAGGACAAUCUUAAAGUAUUUUAAGACAGCAGAAAAUAGGUUGGUGUCUAAAAUUUGCUGGAGAAAAUUAAAUGGCUUGUGUAUUCUCUAAGUACAUGUACACUUAAGUACAGAGUAAUGAUUUUCAUUAGAUGACCUGAAGACAAAAUGUUGAGAAGAAUGGAUGUGUCAUACUGGACUGGGUCUUGUACAGAACUGAAUAUGACUUCUGUGGUGUUAGUGUGUUCCUCUGCAGAUGUUUGGAUUUUUUAGAGGCAAGAUUCAGAGCUGUAGAAGCAGCAGAGUUGAAAGGUAGCACAGUGAAGUGUGCUGCAGGCAGGAGGUCGUUGUUGAACCUGUAUUCAAACUGCAUUCGUCUCCAUCGUUGUAAAAGUUAAUGAGAUCCCUAUCCACGAUAGGGCGAGGUAAAUUAAAUGUUUCUAGCUUGUUACAAGUAGCAGCUAGAAGAUUGUGGCUCAGGUGCCUGUGUUCUUGAUGCUGUAGAAGCAGAUAUUAGCUGUUCUCUUGCUAAACAGCUUUCUGUUGACAACUGAAGGGAAGGCAAAGGAAAAGGUUGGAGAGAACCUGUUUCUUGGGAUCUACCUUUGAACCACUGUCACCUUGCUUUUCUUUUAGGAACUGAGCACAUUCAUGUAAACUGAGCAGCUGUUUUAAACUUUAAAGCUACCUGCUGCAUUUGAGGCCUAAAGAAGAACUUAUGUCCCCCAAAAAUAUGUUUUCCCACAAUGUCAGUUUAAGCAGCUACCUCUUUCCAUGAGCAUUGCCUCACCUUAUCCUUAUGUUACUGCAGCUCCAAAAAACCUCAGCUCUCAAAACAUGAAAAGAAAACAGUGUCUUGGCCAAACAUUAAAACACGUGGAAUGACAGACAAUUCCGUGAGUGAACUAUACCUCUUGAGAUAAUUUGAUCAAUGUUAUUCUGGAAAACUUCACACCAAAAAUAUUAGGAUAUACAUUAUAGAGUGGUUCAAACCUGUUGUUGUGACAGUGCUUCCUCUGCAUUCAUUAGUACAAUGAGGUAUUGAGCAGGUGAUCAUUUCAGUCCCUGUUAUGUUGGCAGAUGAUGUAAAAAACAAUUAUUUUUGGUUCACACCUUUUCUAUGGCUUUUUAUUCUUAUUUGCAGAUACAUUUUUGUGCCAAGAGUUGAAACUUUGGGGGAAGGAGGGAGGGAGGAAGAAUGCUAACAGCAAAGCUAUAACUGGUUUUUUGAAUUUGUAAAAAUAACUUGAAAAUGUAGUCCAACUGUGUUACCCAAGUUAUAUAUCAACAAACUGCAGAAAGCUUGAAUUGCAAACUACCCAUCAGGUUGUAAUUUGCCCUAAAGUCAUUAGCAAAAUAUAUUAUCACCUACAGGUUUAUUACCUGUGAGAAAUGGUUUCACUGUAAUCUAUUCAGGGACAUUUAGUGUGUUAGCAUUUUGAAUUGUUGCUUGUAGUCUUCAGUGUGGCUGGAUUUAGGGGGAGAAGAUUUGGCACAGAAUGCUCAGAAGAGAACAGAAAAAAGUCUGCUGAUUAGGACUUCCCACAGAAAGAAUUGUACAUAUAGAAGUAGGUUUGAUCUGCUUUUUCAAGAUGUAGAAAAUGUCCUUUUUUUAUUUUUGUACAUUUUCAAAUGCUUGUAUUUGUAUUUUGAUUGGAAUAAAAACAUUCAAAAUAUAAA